rnacentral:rRNA from 1 species
GAUGAACGCUAGCUACAGGCUUAACACAUGCAAGUCGAGGGACCGGCGCGCGUGUGAAUAACACGUAUCCAACCUGCCCUUUACUCGGGGAUAGCCUUUCGCAAGAAAUAUUAAUACCCGAUGUAAAGUAUGGGGAUGCGUUCCAUUAGGUUGUUGGUGAGGUAACGGCUCACCAAGCCUUCGCUGGAUAGGGGUUCUGAGAGGAAGGCCCCCUACAUUGGAACUGAGACACGGUCCAAACUCGUACGGGAGGCAGCAGUGAGGAAUACUGGGGACUGGGCGCUAGCCUGAACCAGCCAAGUAGCGUGAAGGAUGAAGGCUUAUGGGUCGUAAACUUCUUUUAUAGAAGAAUAUGUAUUAUAUGAAUAAGGAUCGGCUAACUACGUGCCAGCCGCCGCGGUAAUAC